ensembl:lncRNA
UGACACUUGAUCUAAAAGGAUGCAUUACCCCUAAUAUUUUGACUGUACAACAACAUAAAACUCACUCACUUAUCAGGGAAGUCAUGUUUCAUGUUUCGGCUUUCUUAUCAGAUAAAGGAGCUACAUACUUUCUGACGCUUGUGUUUCAGUUUGAGAUUCUGUUAUUAUUACAGUACAUCAGACCCAUGCUCUUAAACAUAAAUGUAAUAAAUGUACCAUGAAUGUUUUGAUAAUCUGACAAGACAAUACACAUAUUUCACUUUUUUCUUCUUCUCACUGGUCUUUGUGAAUAGCUACUGUUGAAUGUGAGCAUUAAAUAAAUGGUUUAAUAUUGGGAUGUAGCAAAGAGAAAAUAAUAGUCUAUACCAAGCAUUCACAGACAGCUGAAUGCUAUGUAUUCCUGUGUGUGUGUGUCUGUGUGUGUAUGUGUGUGAGUGAGGGGGCGGUGAUGAUUCAGAAGUCAGAUUUCUCACAGGAACAGCCACUUCACUAGAAGCAGAAGCACAUUGCAGUUGGCCAGUGAGGAAAUAUUUUUUUAGUUUUUUCCUCUUCGGUAGGGUUGUGAGGGCUCCACAGAGAAGUGUACAAACGUUAAUAUUGGAUAUUUCAUUUUCUGACUUGCCGUUUGAAUCUGUCAUUGUGAGAUAAUACAGCUGUCACAAUGUCCAGAGUUACCAAUCUGUCGAAGCUGCGGCAAGAGAGGAUGAGGGAGAUCAGCCUGCGGUUCUAGUAAGCCAUCAUCUGCCAUUGGUUUCACCUGUGACUGAAACAUGGCAUGUACAACAGCUGAUCAGCAAUCAUGUCAAACAGACCAGAUCCCUCUGGUGCCCACGGAAGAAAAAGAAGAAGAGAAGAUGUGGAAAACGGGAAAGAAGGAGAUCCUCGGCAACCUGCUGACACCUCAACCCCAGCACCUUCCAGCAAUGCAGCAGCAAGUGCCCCUGCAUGGUUCGAAUUACGGGGGAGCUAAGGGGAGCUCGGCUCCCCUGAAAAGGACCUGAGCUCCCCUGAAAGCGUACUUAGAGACAUUUAGGGGGAACUCUAAAAACCUGUUCCUUUUUGUGUCACAUACAGAUUUUGAUUUUCUGUAGGUUAAGUUUCCUGAAAUAAAUAAUAAUAGUAAAACCUAUUGUUUUAAAUGGCCGAACAUGUACCAGAAGCGUUAUGACGCUGAGAUAAAAGCAGGUUAAAACCGUUAAGUCCGGCGGGGAGGAUCGGAGCCUCCGCCUCAGCUCCACCGCUCCUCAGCUGUUGAUCCUCGGUGUGACUGCUGCUGCUGUCCCCCCCGCCACGGCCGGGCUCAGUUACGCUCUGACCGACCGGGGGCCGCUCCGUGAGUCGGUGUCCGACUCAUGGAGCCUGCUAUAUAAACCUAACAACAGCGAUUAAUUAACAUAGUGUAGAGUUGUGAUUAGCUGUGCUUUAUGUGACUUUCACCCAGCUGGAAGAAAACAUAGAAGAUGAAAUGAGAUGGCUGGUCUGCUGUGGCUUUACUGGUGUUCUACUGAGGAAAGUAGCAGCACCCAACAGUUGCCCUCCUGCCUUCUGUAACUUUAUAGGCUUAUAGAGAGAGCGAGCGGCAAGGUCCUCCCAUGUAAAAACAACUGUCUGAGUGAAAUCAUUCUGAUUCAAGAACUCUUCUCAUUAGUUAACAUUCACAAAGAUCAGAUGAUAAUGUUGAUACCUGAUACCAGCAGGGCUCUGUAAAACCCAUAAAAGUCUUAAACAGCGCAGCACCAUGCGCGGGUGAGCUCUCAUAGACACAUUUUUUCCCCUAAGAGUUGGGAGAGAAAUUAAUCUCAGUUCUGAGUGAAGAAUUGUGCUUCUGCAUAUGUCCUGUUCGUGUUUUCCAAAUACAAUUGUUAAAGCUGUACUCAUUCAUUUUGAUUUUGAUCAGCAAUGGAACUAAUAAUAAUACACGCACAAGAAGUCUCUUUUUUUCCAAAAUGUCUUAAGUUUGCUAUACAAUGUUUGACAAAUGUUCAGCUUUAUUGUUUUACCACAUGUGAUUCUUGAAGGAGUGUGUAUGACAAGCAGAACAACUCUGACUGUGUCCCCCUGCUGUGUGAUUUUUUACUUAUUUAAUUAAUUUUUUUGCUCUGAUUAAUAAAUGUAUUCUCUGAUUUUGAAACAGUAGCCUUAUAAUGUUGUUGUUGUAAUGCUGCCUCUCUGAAAUGUUAUUAACAGUAUUAACUGUCUGUAGUAGUAACAGUAGAAUGUUUUUUGAAGUUACCCUGCAAUUGAUUGCUUUGCCGCGCAUUUCCAUGUAUGUGUGUGUGACAUGUUUAGUAGCGGAGCGCACUGGAAAAUUGGGCUCCCCCGAAAGCCACUGUGUAAUUCGAACCGUGUGCCCCUGUCCCUCCCACCUCAGAAUAGCCUAGCGAUGUAGCAUCAGUUCUCCCCUCUAUGUCAGCACAGCUAGGUUCAAACUCAUUAAAACCUACCUGAGAUCUUCUAUGGGACAAGAGCAUCUCAGUGAACAUCGUUAGAGUAAAUAAUGUGGUCUCCCAACAGAUAUCUACAUUAUGCAUUUUGCACUGAGGUUUCUGUAAUAAUAUUUGUGUGCAAUUAUUGAAAUAUUGUACUUGUAAAUCUGCACUGAGUUCUUUGAUACUAUAUUUUUGUGCAAUAUCUCAUUUAUAUUGUAUACAUAUUUCACUUUAUCCAAUUAUUUCUAUAAUACUGUGUUAUUUCUAAAAUAAAGAAAAUUGAUUUAAAGCAAUACAGUGUCUUUGUGAAUGUAUGAAUGUCAUUGCUGUGUGAUGGCAAUGUCUAACAUGCAAGGGGCACCAGCUGAAAUCUUGCCUGGGGCACGAAAUUGGUCAAGACUGGCUCUGGUCGGAGUGGUGUUUUUAAACUUGAGUAGGCUUAUUUCCAGUUUUGUUUCUUACAAUAAAUGUACUCUUUCAAAUAAAGCUGUAUAUUUGUCUUUUUAAGGAAAAGGACAACUAGCUUAAUCGAAAAACCACAAAUCAUCUAACAUUUUUAUAUACAGAUACAUAACAUUAGCCAUUGGUUGGCUCAAUAAAUGUAGGCUAACAGCUUUCAAUCAGUUCAAUCAAAUCAAAACAAUUAGCAAAUCAACACAUUCUGUUGCAUUUAUAUUUCACACAGCAUCCCAGCUGUCUUAGAUAGAUAGAUAGAUAGAAUUACUUUAAUGAUCCCAGACUGGGAAAUUAUUUUGUUACAGCAGCAGUGGGUCCGCAAAUAAAACACUUCGUACAUAACAUAAAUAGAAUCCAAUAUAUACAUAGUGUAUAUAUACAGUGCACAGUGUGCUAUAAACAAUAAACAGUAAUAAUAUAUACAACAAAACAAAAUAUGCAAAAUAUACUAUAACAAUAAUAAUAUAUACAACAGAACAGUAGAGAGACCAGAGUUCUCUGUCAGGCAGAGGUGAGAGAGUUAUUGUAUAAAGUGAUGGCUUGUGGCAGGAAAGAUUUCCUGUAUCUGUUGCUACGACAGCGAAGCUGAAGCAGCCUUCCGGAGAAGGUGCUCCGCUGUCUGACCAGUGUGAGUUGGAGAGGGUGGAGA